AUCAUACGGCAUGAAGAAGCACACCUAUGCCGCUUACCUCGUAGCUAAUCACCGGCGAUAUGAAUUGUUCGUCGAAUAGACCUUCCAAACAGAGCUGUCAAAUCGGGCUUAUAACUUGACCUGAUAUCUUUACGGUCCUUGGUUGUAUGGCUGAAAUCCAGUUUACGCCAAAGUUUACGCUUCGUGUGACGUCCGUAUAAGAGAUAUAGAUUUACCUUUUGAUUCUUUGAUGAAUGGAUUUGAACUCGUUCCUUCGAAUGUGCAGUACAUAUCCCCACCGCAGUAGUGAUUGGUCCAACGCUCCUCCGCUGAUAGACACGCAACUAUAGCGCUAUAUAAACCAUCAGGGACGCAGGAUGGAAAACGCAAAACGUCCGGUUCAUCGUUCAAAUGAAAAAUGGGAAGGCUGUAUUGUUACCGAUGAAUCAAGCACCCUCUACUCCGCCAGUUGAAAUAAACUCCUAUCAUCAUUUACAUCCGGAUGUUUUGGAAGAUUUAUCCUCGUGCUCAGAUAAAACACAAACAUACGAAGAACAUAAAGAAAAUUUCAUCCAAACACCGAGCACCUCACGACAACACUUGCAAAAAAGUAAACAGAGUGUUCCUUUUUGAUGGCAAUACUGCAUGCUAAUUUUCAUGUUUUAUGUUUUAUAACCCACUUACGAAGCCAAAAUCCUGUUCAACACAAACCAAUAGACAACCUGAAGAAGAUUAUAUAUGGAACGAAAUUAUCAACAAACUAGACUUAAUACAACAGGAGCAAAGACAGCAAGCAGAUAUAUCAAACAAGAGAAUAGCAGCUUUGGAAGGACAAAUCAAAUUGAUGCGCUCAGAAUUCAACAUUGUCUCUGACAAAUUAAUUCCUCGUCCAGGGUUUGUGGCUGUGUCGAGUUUUGAGUGGGAACCACUAGCAAACAAAAAUGAUGAAAACACGCUUGAAAAAAGAUUGUCGGAACCUGAGUUUAGAAAGAAUUUCAAUGACUAUUUAGAAACUCGUCUACCAUCAGAUUGUUCAGAAGAAAGGAUGCAUGCGGCUAUGGACAUAACAUUUACAAAGGAGCUAGUGACUCAAAUCACGUGGACGGGCAUAAGUCGUCCCAUUGAAAAAAUAUGCUUUUUCGAAUACAAAAAUAUAAUUAGGCAAUUUAAAGACAUAGGAACAUAUGGAGGUGUUACACCAUCUGAUAAAGCAAUCAAAAGUUUCACCCAAAACAAAUUCAAGCAUGGUGGUCAAAGGCUAAACUUAGUUGGAUUAGUUAGAACUUCUCAUCAUCGACGCUAGAAAUCGUAUAAGUUGCUCAGUGUCGUUAUGUAAGUUAGAAAUGAAUGAAUUUAUUAAAUGUGUUCGGAAAUACCGUCAUGUGAUAUGAAAACCAUAAGAAUUUCAAUAAAGAUUAAAUUUAAAAUGUACAUUCCUGUUUUAUUCAAUUAACGUGUGAACUAACGGAACAAAGUCGAAU